GACGAACGCUGGCGGCGUGCUUAACACAUGCAAGUCGAACGGAAAGGCCCUGCUUUUGUGGGGUGCUCGAGUGGCGAACGGGUGAGUAACACGUGAGUAACCUGCCCUUGACUUUGGGAUAACUUCAGGAAACUGGGGCUAAUACCGGAUAGGAGCUCCUGCUGCAUGGUGGGGGUUGGAAAGUUUCGGCGGUUGGGGACGGACUCGCGGCUUAUCAGCUUGUUGGUGGGGUAGUGGCUUACCAAGGCUUUGACGGGUAGCCGGCCUGAGAGGGUGACCGGCCACAUUGGGACUGAGAUACGGCCCAGACUCCUACGGGAGGCAGCAGUGGGGAAUAUUGCACAAUGGGCGGAAGCCUGAUGCAGCAGCGCCGCGUGCGGGAUGACGGCCUUCGGGUUGUAAACCGCUUUCGCCUGUGACGAAGCGUGAGUGACGGUAAUGGGUAAAGAAGCACCGGCUAACUACGUGCCAGCAGCCGCGGUGAUACGUAGGGUGCGAGCGUUGUCCGGAUUUAUUGGGCGUAAAGGGCUCGUAGGUGGUUGAUCGCGUCGGAAGUGUAAUCUUGGGGCUUAACCCUGAGCGUGCUUUCGAUACGGGUUGACUUGAGGAAGGUAGGGGAGAAUGGAAUUCCUGGUGGAGCGGUGGAAUGCGCAGAUAUCAGGAGGAACACCAGUGGCGAAGGCGGUUCUCUGGGCCUUUCCUGACGCUGAGGAGCGAAAGCGUGGGGAGCGAACAGGCUUAGAUACCCUGGUAGUCCACGCUGUAAACGGUGGGUACUAGGUGUGGGGUCCAUUCCACGGGUUCCGUGCCGUAGCUAACGCUUUAAGUACCCCGCCUGGGGAGUACGGCCGCAAGGCUAAAACUCAAAGGAAUUGACGGGGCCCCGCACAAGCGGCGGAGCAUGCGGAUUAAUUCGAUGCAACGCGUAGAACCUUACCUGGGUUUGACAUGGAUCGGGAGUGCUCAGAGAUGGGUGUGCCUCUUUUGGGGUCGGUUCACAGGUGGUGCAUGGCUGUCGUCAGCUCGUGUCGUGAGAUGUUGGGUUAAGUCCCGCAACGAGCGCAACCCUUGUUCACUGUUGCCAGCACGUUAUGGUGGGGACUCAGUGGAGACCGCCGGGGUCAACUCGGAGGAAGGUGGGGAUGGCGUCAAGUCAUCAUGCCCCUUAUGUCCAGGGCUUCACGCAUGCUACAAUGGCUGGUACAGAGAGUGGCGAGCCUGUGAGGGUGAGCGAAUCUCGGAAAGCCGGUCUCAGUUCGGAUUGGGGUCUGCAACUCGACCUCAUGAAGUCGGAGUCGCUAGUAAUCGCAGAUCAGCAACGCUGCGGUGAAUACGUUCCCGGG
rnacentral:rRNA from 1 species